rnacentral:rRNA from 1 species
GAUGAACGCUGGCGGCGUGCUUAACACAUGCAAGUCGAACGGAAAGGCCCAAGCUUGCUUGGGUACUCGAGUGGCGAACGGGUGAGUAACACGUGGGUGAUCUGCCCUGCACUUCGGGAUAAGCCUGGGAAACUGGGUCUAAUACCGGAUAGGACCACAUUUUGGAUGGUGUGGUGGAAAGUUUUUCGGUGUGGGAUGAGCUCGCGGCCUAUCAGCUUGUUGGUGGGGUAAUGGCCUACCAAGGCGUCGACGGGUAGCCGGCCUGAGAGGGUGUACGGCCACAUUGGGACUGAGAUACGGCCCAGACUCCUACGGGAGGCAGCAGUGGGGAAUAUUGCACAAUGGGCGCAAGCCUGAUGCAGCGACGCCGCGUGGGGGAGGACGGCCCUCGGGUUGUAAACUCCUUUCGCUAGGGACGAAGCGUUAUGUGACGGUACCUGGAGAAGAAGCACCGGCUAACUACGUG